GGAGUUGUGGCUCAGCGAGCGGUAAAGCACUCACCUAGCAUGUGUGAGGCCCUGGGUUCGAUCCUCGGCACCA
rnacentral:tRNA from 1 species